CGCCUAGAGUGUUCCCGCGGGCAGAUCCACUUUUCUGCCACCGAAUACAUUAGCAUGGGAUAAUGGAAUAGGACCCUGUCCUCCUAUUUUCAGUUGGUUUUGGCAGCGCGAGGACUAGGGUAAUGAUUAAUAGGGAUAGUUGGGGGCAUUAAUAUUUAAUUGUCAGAGGUGAAAUUCUUGGAUUUAUGAAAGAUUAACUUCUGCGAAAGCAUCUGCCAAGGAUGUUUUCAUUAAUCAAGAACGAAAGUUAGGGGAUCGAAGACGAUCAGAUACCGUCGUAGUCUUAACCAUAAACGAUGCCGACCAGCGAUUAGGAGACGUUGAAUACAAAACACCACCAUCGGCGCGGUCGUCCUUGGCGUUCGUCAGCUUCACGGCCGGCGGGCGCGAGGGCGGUUUAGCCCGGUGGCACCGGUGAAUGACUCCCCUACCGCCUUGUGAGAA
rnacentral:rRNA from 1 species